UACGUAGGGUGCGAGCGUUAAUCGGAAUUACUGGGCGUAAAGCGUGCGCAGGCGGUGAUGUAAGACCGAUGUGAAAUCCCCGGGCUUAACCUGGGAACUGCAUUGGUGACUGCAUUGCUGGAGUAGUGGCAGAGGGGGGUGGAAUUCCGCGUGUAGCAGUGAAAUGCGUAGAUAUGCGGAGGAACACCGAUGGCGAAGGCAAUCCCCUGGACCUGUACUGACGCUCAUGCACGAAAGCGUGGGGAGCAAACAGG
rnacentral:rRNA from 1 species